GGAGAGAUGGCUGAGUGGUUGAAGGCGGCAGAUUGCUAAUCUGUUGUAUAAUAUGAAUUAUACCGAGGGUUCGAAUCCCUUUCUCUCCU
rnacentral:tRNA from 1 species